UACGUAGGGCGCAAGCGUUGUCCGGAAUUAUUGGGCGUAAAGAGCUCGUAGGCGGUUUGUCGCGUCUGCUGUGAAAACCUAAGGCUCAACCUUGGGCUUGCAGCUGAUACGGGCAGGCUUGAGUUCGGUAGGGGAGACUGGAAUUCCUGGUGUAGCGGUGAAAUGCGCAGAUAUCAGGAGGAACACCGGUGGCGAAGGCGGGUCUCUGGACAGUUCCUGACACUGAGGCACGAAGGCCAGGGGAGCAAACGGG
rnacentral:rRNA from 1 species